AGGACGAACGCUGGCGGCGUGCUUAACACAUGCAAGUCGAACGGAAAGGCCCGCUUGCGGGUACUCGAGUGGCGAACGGGUGAGUAACACGUGGGCAACCUGCCCUCAGCUUCGGGAUAACACUUGGAAACAGGUGCUAAUACCGGAUAACAACUUUUUCAUCGCAUGGUGGAUGGUUCAAAGUUUUUCGGCUGAGGAUGGGCCCGCGGCCUAUCAGCUUGUUGGUGGGGUAAUGGCCUACCAAGGCGACGACGGGUA
rnacentral:rRNA from 1 species